rnacentral:misc_RNA from 1 species
UUGCAUGUUCAAAACGUAGUCAGACGUUGAAGCGCGUGGUCGUCGAAAGUUCGUCCUCCGGAACAUUCAAGAGGAGUACAGGAAAAUAUCUGUGAAACAACAACAAACUAGAGCAGCAACCCAGCAGCGGCACCAGCAGCAGCAGCAGUCGACGAAGGAAAUUGGACAGGGACUUUGAUGUGAAACGGAAGGGAGGCGGCGAUAGAAAGCGAGAGACAGGACGGGACGCCAGAGGGCCAAAGGGCAAUUGAAGGGGAAGGAGAAGGGAAGGGAAUAGUGUGCAAAUUGAUAUUGUCGAGCAGCAUGGAUGAGGAGCACGACGACGAUCAAAUAAUAUGAGAUUAGAUGGGGCUUUAGAGCCCCGGCACCGUCACGGUCACGGUCACGGAGCUGCCAUCCUCAAGGGCCGCUUCCAUGGUGUUGCCCCACUGAGGCGCGAGACGCGUGAAAAAUGUGAGACAAAGCGAAACAAACAAGCUGACGAAGACGACGAUGCAGUCACAGAUGCUGAGUGUUUGACCAGCAGCAACAACAACACCAGCAGCAAGAGGACAACAAUCAGCAGCAGCAACAGCAACAACUGCCACUGGCCGCUGGCAAACAAAGCCAACUUGGACUUCAACUUUGAGGGCAUCUCCACGGCAAGAGCAACAGCCCCAAGAGCUGGAGCCCGGGCCACUUCUUUGUGCGACGGAAACGUGAAACGCUCCUCCAUUGUCGCCACCCUAAAAAAGCGUGCCCAGCCAUCGUUAAUGCUAAUGGCCGCCACUGAGGGGCCAAAGAACCCCAUUCCGAGCCCGGACCCGAAUCCGAACCCGAACCCGAACCCGAAGAAGAGCAUUAGCAUGGGCAGGAGCGGGACCGGGAGCAGGAGCAGGCGCCAAGGCAUUGGCCCGGCCCUGGAGCGAGGUUGGGCUAGGGAAUGGGAUUUGGGCUUGAGCCGGCACUGGAGCUGUGACUGGGGCUGGGGCGCUCCCCUCAGCACGUUUGUCCUGUGCCUGAUUUCCGUCAUUGCCCUGCUGCCGCCUCUAACGCUCGGCGAUGACGGUGAUAAUUUCUUUGCCGUAAAUGCCUUCAGCGCGGGACCGGAGACGACAACCCCAGAGUUCGAUUAUGCCAGCCGCGGAGUGAAGAAGUUUGGGGACAAGUGCGAUAACACCUUGGAGUGCGGUUUCCCCGGCUCCAUAUGCGAUCCCAAGAAGAAGUCCUGCCAGUGCACCGAGGAUCUGGCCGUCACCAAUCACUAUGAUAAAUGUGGCAAAGAGGCCGCCGUGAACGAGUCCUGCUUCUUCAACGAGCAGUGCGAACAGAAGUACUUUCAGACGGAGUGCCGCGACGGACGAUGCGCCUGCCGCUUCGAGAUGUCGCCCGUUUGGGGCAAGGAUGGCACUGUGGAGUGUGCAGGGCGCCAGGACAAGCGGGGACCCGAGACCUACAUCGAUCCGGCCAUGAUUGGCGUGCUGGUAGGAAUGGCAUUGAUGUUUAUUAUUAUUUGUGUCGUCCUGCGAUUGUUUAGCCAAGCCCGCUGGCAUGAGAACCGGACCAUCUUCAAUACGCCCAAUCCGCGCCUGAUGAACGUCUCGCUGCUGCGCGACAGCAAGCUGCUCCACGGGCAGGAGCGACGAGGCUCCCGGAUGUCGGUGCGCGCCCCAUCCCGGCAGCCCAGCAUGGCCUCGCUGCGUCCGCACUCGCCCAAUCCGUCGCUAGGACGCAUGAUCCGCUCGAAGAGCAACACACGCUCUAGUGAUUCACGUGUCAGCGAUGUGUCCACCUGCUCCCGACUGCUGGAGCACCCGAGCGCCGCCAACCAGCACAACAUAGUCCACAGUCACUUUCUGCCCUACGUGCCAACGACCACGGCGGCCUCAGCCUCAGCCUCAGUAUCAGGCACAGCCAUGACAACGUAUGCUGCCUCAGCCACGCCUUCACCCACGCCCACAGCCAGUGCAUCGCCAGCGAUGCAGCCAGUCACCGCCACCAUCAGCACCACCUAUGUGUCAUCGCCGGGGGCGGCGCCAGCCUGUGGCCGAACGAUUAAGUUUUAGAUCACAAAUAACUAUACGUAUCACAAAGCAAAAAGCAAAAAGCCAAAAGCCAAGAGCAAAAGCAUCCAUAUCAGGGUCCAAGAGGUUCCGAUGAACACGGCAACGGCAGCAACGCCUCGGGCACAUCAGUGCGGUCCAAUCGCAGCAAUUCGGUGGCUCCCGGCAAGAUUUCCC